GCUAGUCGCACCAGAGAGCUUGCGUGGC
rnacentral:sRNA from 1 species